rnacentral:rRNA from 1 species
ACUCAAAGGAAUAGACGGGGGCCCGCACAAGCAGCGGAGCGUGUGGUUUAAUUCGAUGAUACACGAAGAACCUUACCAGGGUUUGACAUGCACGUAGUAGUGAAGCGAAAGCUGAACGACCCUUCGGGGAGCGUGCACAGGUGCUGCAUGGCUGUCGUCAGCUCGUGCCGUGAGGUGUUAGGUUAAGUCCUAUAACGAGCGCAGCCCUUACUGCCAGUUACACGUGUCUGGCGGGACUGCCGGUCAUAAGCCGGAGGAAGGUGGGGAUGACGUCAAGUCAGCAUGGCCUUUAUAUCCUGGGCUACACACACGCUACAAUGGCUGGUACAAUGGGCUGCCAAGUCGCGAGACGGAGCCAAUCCCACAAAACCAGCCUCAGUUCGGAUUGUAGGCUGCAACCCGCCUACAUGAAGUUGGAGUUGCUAGUAAACGCGCGUCAGCUAUAGUGCGUUGAAUACGUUCCCGGGCCUUGUACACACCGCCCGU